GAACGCAAAUUGCACUCUCUGGUAUUCCGGAGAGUAUGCCUGUUUGAGGGUCGAUAAAACAAAAAAUCGAUAUGUUUUAACAUAUUGGAAUUGGAUAAUCUUUAACUUUGGUUAAAGUGAUCUAAAAUUUAUCAUUUUAUACUUUCGGUAUGAUUAUGUACUUAAUAAUUUUCGUCUUAAAUACUGAAUGUAAUUUUAUUAGAUGCGACUAUUCAAUAGCUUUCGUGUCCAUAACUUUUUUCAAUUAAUGACCUCAAAUCAGGUAAGAAUACCCGCUGAACUUAAG
rnacentral:misc_RNA from 1 species